rnacentral:ncRNA from 1 species
CGACGGCGCGAGGUUCUGACACGCGGCCUUACCGCGGCCGCCGGGGCCGCGUCGAGCCACUGGCGAGACCGACGUUGUCGUGA